rnacentral:rRNA from 1 species
UACGAAGGGUGCAAGCGUUACUCGGAAUUACUGGGCGUAAAGAGCGUGUAGGCGGCCCGGUAAGUCCGCUGUGAAAGUCGGGGGCUCAACCCUCGAAUGCCGGUGGAUACUGUCGGGCUAGAGUGCGGAAGAGGCGAGUGGAAUUCCUGGUGUAGCGGUGAAAUGCGCAGAUAUCAGGAGGAACACCGAUUGCGAUGGCAGCGUUCGUGGACGUAACUGACGCUGAGACGCGAAAGCGUGGGGAGCAAACAGG